GACGAACGCUGGCGGCGUGCUUAACACAUGCAAGUCGAACGGAAAGGCCUGCUUUCCCUUGUGGAUUGCGGGUACUCGAGUGGCGAACGGGUGAGUACCACGUGAGUGAUCUGCCCCCAACUUGGGUAUAAGCCUGGGAAACUGUGUCUAAUUCCCGAUAGUACUGCAGGGUGGUGCCUGUGGUGGAAAACGAUUUUCUAGUGUUUGGGGAUGAGCUCGCGGCCUAUCAGCUUGUUGGUGGGGUAAUGGCCUACCAAGGCGGCGACGGGUAGCCGGCCUGAGAGGGUGGACGGCCACAUUGGGACUGAGACACGGCCCAGACUGGUACGGGAGGCAGCAGUGGGGAAUAAUGCACAAUGGGCGGAAGCCUGAUGCAGCGACGGCGCGUGGGGGAUGACGGCGUUCGGGUUGUAAACUCCUUGCGACGGCGAGGAAGACACCUGGUUGGAAGGGUGGUGACGGUAGUGGUAGAAGAAGCACCGGCUAACUACGUG
rnacentral:rRNA from 1 species